UCCGCCUACACCCUUUACAUAUCUUCUUGGUCUGACUUAUUUCUUUCUCUUCAGACACAUUACUCCAACACAUAGUCUUGAGUCCACAAAGGUGGGCGUCUCUGUCUCAAGCCCCUAUCGGAAAUGGAAGCAUAAGCGUAAGUUCUACUAGGAAGACUAAAUGUCACAUCACAUUACAAUUAAGGUCUAGCCAAUCGGCUCUCAACACGAUGGAUAUAAAAGUGCACUACUCACAUCCUAUUUGUGUUUGCAGAUACCGCCGCUGUCAUUUCCCUCCAUCCUCCCCACCACCACCAGGUUGGCCCUGUCCAUGCGGGGGGUAGGCUCCGCCCUGCCUUCAUCUUCAGCAGGAUUAGCUGGUAUCUACAAACUUCAGAUCCAC